rnacentral:rRNA from 1 species
CCUACGGGCGGCAGCAGUGGGGAAUAUUGGACAAUGGGCGAAAGCCUGAUCCAGCCAUGCCGCGUGUGUGAAGAAGGCCUUCGGGUUGUAAAGCACUUUCAGUGGGGAAGAAAGCCUUGUGGCUAAUACCCUCGAUGAAGGACAUCACUCACAGAAGAAGCACCGGCUAACUCCGUGCCAGCAGCCGCGGUAAUACGGAGGGUGCGAGCGUUAAUCGGAAUUACUGGGCGUAAAGCGCGCGUAGGCGGUCUGAUAAGCCGGUUGUGAAAGCCCCGGGCUCAACCUGGGAACGGCAUCCCGAACUGUCAGGCUAGAGUGCAGGAGAGGAAGGUAGAAUUCCCGGGGUAGCGGUGAAAUGCGUAGAGAUCGGGAGGAAUACCAGUGGCGAAGGCGGCCUUCUGGACUGACACUGACGCUGAGGUGCGAAAGCGUGGGUAGCAAACAGGAUUAGAUACCCCAGUAGUC